rnacentral:rRNA from 1 species
UUGAACGCUGGCGGCAUGCCUUACACAUGCAAGUCGAACGGUAACAGGUCUUCGGAUGCUGACGAGUGGCGAACGGGUGAGUAAUAUAUCGGAACGUGCCCAGUUGUGGGGGAUAACUACUCGAAAGAGUGGCUAAUACCGCAUACGACCUGAGGGUGAAAGCGGGGGAUCGCAAGACCUCGCGCAAUUGGAGCGGCCGAUAUCAGAUUAGGUAGUUGGUGGGGUAAAGGCCCACCAAGCCGACGAUCUGUAGCUGGUCUGAGAGGACGACCAGCCACACUGGGACUGAGACACGGCCCAGACUCCUACGGGAGGCAGCAGUGGGGAAUUUUGGACAAUGGGCGCAAGCCUGAUCCAGCAAUGCCGCGUGCAGGAAGAAGGCCUUCGGGUUGUAAACUGCUUUUGUACGGAGCGAAAAGGCUCUCUCUAAUACAGGGGGCUCAUGACGGUACCGUAAGAAUAAGCACCGGCUAACUACGU